rnacentral:rRNA from 1 species
AACGCGAAGAACCUUACCCAGGUUUGACAUCCUUGGAAUUUCUCCGAAAGGAGAGAGUGCUUUAUUGAGCCAAGUGACAGGUGUUGCAUGGCCGUCGUCAGCUCGUGUCGUGAGAUGUUUGGUUAAGUCCAUCAACGAGCGCAACCCUUAUGUUUAGUUGAAUUUUUCUAGACAGACUGCCCUGGUAACAGGGAGGAAGGAGGGGAUGAUGUCAGGUCAGUAUUACCCUUACAUCUGGGGCUACAGACACGCUACAAUGGCCGGUACAAAGGGCUGCCAAGUCGCGAGACGGAGCAAAUCCCAUCAAAGCCGGUCUCAGUUCGGAUAGCAGGCUGAAACCCGCCUGCUUGAAGCUGGAAUCGCUAGUAACGGUAGGUCAGCACACUACCGUGAAUACGUUCCCGGGCCUUGUACACACCGCUGUA